UAGCGGGUGGAAGUCAGCCAGAGCCAUGUAGCAUGGAUGGCAGGGGGUAUUGGAAACGUUGCCUUCUGAAGCCCAUCGACAAAGUCUGCAAUAAGGCAGGCGAGCAACUAUCCGGGUUGUAACGAAC
rfam:Candidatus Brocadia caroliniensis isolate 26THWARD NODE_29_length_38983_cov_20.5311_ID_57, whole genome shotgun sequence.